rnacentral:rRNA from 1 species
GACGAACGCUGGCGGCGUGCUUAACACAUGCAAGUCGAACGGAAAGGCCCUGCUUUUGUGGGGUGCUCGAGUGGCGAACGGGUGAGUAACACGUGAGUAACCUGCCCUUGACUUUGGGAUAACUUCAGGAAACUGGGGCUAAUACCGGAUAGGAGCUCCUGCUGAAUGGUGGGGGUUGGAAAGUUUCGGCGGUUGGGGAUGGACUCGCGGCUUAUCAGCUUGUUGGUGGGGUAGUGGCUUACCAAGGCUUUGACGGGUAGCCGGCCUGGGAGGGUGACCGGCCACAUUGGGACUGAGAUACGGCGCAGACUCCUACGGGAGGCAGCAGUGGGGAAUAUUGCACAAUGGGCGGAAGCCUGAUGCAGCAACGCCGCGUGCGGGAUGACGGCCUUCGGGUUGUAAACCGCUUUCGCCUGUGACGAAGCGUGAGUGACGGUAAUGGGUAAAGAAGCACCGGCUAACUACGUG